UACGGAGGGUGCGAGCGUUGUCCGGAAUCAUUGGGCGUAAAGGGCGCGUAGGUGGCCCGGUCAGUUCGUGGUGAAAGCGCGGGGCUCAACCCUGCGUCGGCCAUGAAUACUGCCGCGGCUGGAGCACUGUAGAGGCAGGCGGAAUUCCGGGUGUAGCGGUGGAAUGCGUAGAGAUCCGGAAGAACACCGGUGGCGAAGGCGGCCUGACUGGGCCAGUUGCUGGACACUGAGGCGCGAC
rnacentral:rRNA from 1 species